GAAGCCCCCUAGGGCCCAUGUUUUGCCUUUCUGCUCCUCACUGAUAAUGACCAGGAGAGAGGUUUUUACUACACAAGCUGGCAAUGCAGAGGGAUUGGGGCUCCGGAUUAUAAGGGUGCCUCACCGGGGACUGGCAGCGUCACGGGUGACGAGCUACUGAGGACCACCAGGCCGUCGAGACUGAGGCGGGCGUGGCAGGUGACGAAGCAGUGCACAUCGGAACUCCAGGCCCUCACAUCCAGCAGCUGGUAGGCUACCCAGCGGGGCCCGCUGAGCGUCUCACCCCGCCGCAGCUCGGUGCGGAGGCUGGAACCCUCCGGGAGGGGGCAGCUGC